rnacentral:ribozyme from 1 species
UUCGCUGCCAAAGCCAACAGGGGUGGCAAGGAAUUGGUGGAUUUCGAGAACAAAUGAUCUACAACAACAUGAUUUGGGGCCCAACAUUGGUGGAAACCUUCCUCCUUACAGACCAAGAGGAAGUCCACGAGGAAUUGAAGGACGA